rnacentral:misc_RNA from 1 species
AUUAUCGAUUUGAAUCAAAACGCAAGCCAAUCAGACGACCGGCAACAUAAGUGGCCACGUCCCUGGACAGAACGCACCACCUUAUCCAGAUGCCUACCUAUCAAUCGAACAUAUCAUAGUGGAAAAUGAGCUGAAUAAAUCCCAAAAAUGCACUGAAGCUCCUCCUUCAUAUGAAGAAGCCAUGAGGUUGGCGUUGGCCCACAGCAACUCCCUGCAAACUUACGAAGUUGAGCAGAGGAGCGCCAAUCAGCAGCUCGGAGCGAAUCAAGCUACGUCUUCAGCAACCCCGAUUGCGCCCACCCAUCAGCCAACCGCUUUGCCACUCGAGAGAUUUUAAUGCGGAUUUUUUACUUUUUUGUUUAGUACUUAGUUCUGACUGGAAGAUGGAACUCCCCAUUGAAUUUACUCAUUCACUGGUGUCGAACGUUCCAUCAAUGUGCCACUAAACCGUCGGCUCUGGGUGGAGAUUUUUAUUUGUGUGUUAAUGAUAUUUUCGUGUUCAUUUGUACUCAGUUGAAUAGAAAUGCUUUCGCUUCGAGAAGAAAUUCUCUUCGGAAAAAGAAGUCAAAAGGGUCCAAUUGAGCUGAUGCUACAUCUUCAAAUUACAUCACUGGUACUCAAAAGUAUUAUUUCGUCUAGGAAAAUAAUCCAUUGUGAUACGUCUUUAUGUUAGUCAAUAUAGUUUUGUAAGAAUAGUCAAGUCUAUUGUACAUAUAGUUUAAUCGGCUACUUUAAGACGCAUUUUUUAUCAGAAGACCUGACCAAAACGGUUUGUCAAUAAAACGCGCCUCUAUUGCGCUUAUCUCAAGAUACACUUUUAAUACAUUAUUUUAUGGUGA